UGAAAUAGGAGGAAUGAUUCAGACUCCUGAUUUCAAGCCUGGGCAUCAAACUUGAUUCACAAUGCUUUCAUUACUAACUAACUUAUAUUCUACCAAGAGCACCCCAAUAUCCAUUCCUGCAGAACCCCUAUCAGGCAUCCCUUCCUGUGGGAGAAGCAAACUUUCCAGGAAACGCACAAUCACAGCUUGGAGAAAUGCCUACAUAGUGUGCAAGCACUAACUCUCUCCUGGGACUAUGACUAAAUUCAAGUUGUACUAAAUGAUGUACUGGUAUUAUGUAUAGCAUAGCAAAGCAUGUUCACUUGAGCUCUGGGCAUAGCAUGUUUACUCGAUAAAUAUUACUUAGGGAAUUAGUAGUUAAAUUUUCAGUAGCUGCCAUGGCAUCUUUGUUAUGAGGAUUUGACUGUGUUUUCAAAAUGUUGGGCAAAUAGGAAAGGUUCUGUGGAUUUUUGAGGCUCUGGAGUACAAGGGGUACCUGAAAAGAUGCUGAAGGAGCAAUGCCCGUCCCAGUGGAAGGUAACUGUGGCUGCAUCAGCUGAAGAAGAGACCAGAAAUCACUUGGGCACCUCAGAU